GAUAAUGCUACUUGUUUGCUUUGUCUCCAAGAUGAUGAAUCUGUCCCCCAAGUUUUCUUCAACUGUCCCUAUUCAAGAGCAAUCAGACUUCUUACCUCUCAAUUGUGCUCCGUCUCCUCUACUCUUCGUCCCUGACACCAGAAUUUCUAAGGCAGCUGGUAACUUCAGUGGAAAGGAUUUUCACAGAAUCAUUUGCAAGUUAACUUGGUUGUCUAUACUUCACGUCAGGAGAGAAACAAUAGGAUCUUCAAAGACAUUCAGAGAAGCUCCAGACAUAUGGUAGAUCAGAAUCAACAGAUUAAGGUCCCGUUUGGCAUACUGGUUUUCCGCUUUUUGGCUUUUAAAGAAAAUGGUAAAAAAAGCCAAUCUUAUUUGGGAUACAAAAAAAUAUGCCGAGUCUUUUCAAUGGAAAACAUGGUUGGGAUAAUUAUCUUAUAUUGACAUUAUUACUUGUGGAGUGUGGUUUUUCUGGGUUGGGCAAUCCAAAUGCACAUGCAUAGAUUUGAGUCUAGUCUAAUUUUGGUUUGCAAAGCUUCGCGCCAAAGCCAAAUUACAUUAAACAUACUACUAGAGAAGCACUUGUAACAAUUUAACCAUGUUAUGAUAAGUAUGUGUUUGAAUUAAGGAUUCGGCAUGGGAAAAGGAAAAGAAAAAAUUAAAAGAUCCAACUAUCCCGAAUUAUUGGAUCUUCUAUGUUUUCCAUUUCCUUUUCCUUUUCCACUUGAUCCAAAUACAAACUAAGAGAGACAAAAAUAUUAAGAACAGCAAGAUUUUCAUAUUGAAGAAAAAAAGAGAGCUUAUGCAGACAAAAACACUACAAUUACAACCAAAAAACUAUAUUUCAAGUAUAUAGAUUAGAAAAUCACCCACACAUCAUAAAAGAACUUGCAAAAUGAUCAAAUCAGAUACCCAAGUCCCAGAAUUUGGACCUAUUCCCAAAAUUCAAAAUAAAUGAUUUAGAUUCACUUGAGCAUGUGAAUGUCCGUAAUCAAGUAAAUCUGGAUCUUUUAUUCUGGGUCUAAAUUAUGGGACCGUAGCCUGCAAACAAAAACAAUUACAUGCAAUGUAAAAGUAUUGAAAACAGUUGAAACAUGCCAUGAUCCAAAAAUGAUUAAACUGUACUUGGAUCAAAUAAAAAAUUAAUUCUGAAAAGUUAUAUCCAUUAACUUUUGUCCUUUCUUUCUUUUCCUUUCCCUCCACCAAACCCUCAAUCCUAAGAGCUCAAAAAAAUCUAUAUAAUUUGAAAAAAACAGUGGAGGCACUCACUUAGGGACCGAUGGCAGAGACCUCCUCGCUCGACUGAGGCCAUCGAGGCCAUUCCCAGUUAUGCUCGCAAACGGAACCAUCGAGACUUCCGAGCUCGAAAAAUCUCCGUUCGAGCCCCACAACCCCACCAUGAGCAAUAAAACCCACAGAAGGCCGACUGAUUUGUGUUUCAUCUGCGAGAUGGAGAAGAUAAAUAGAGAGAGAGAGAGAUUGGGGAUGGUUCGGUGAGGUUUAAUUGGGGUUGUAGACGAUGAAUUGGGGUGUGAUUAGGGUUAAUUGGUACCGUAGAGAGAGAGUAUCGGUGGGUUGGUAGAGGAUUGAGGGUUUGGGAGGAAGAGAGAGCGACGAUGAUCCGAAGCUUCUCUCGGCCUCCGCAAUUUGGGAUCUACGGGACUGUCAGUUGCAGUCUGCAGAUACUUUCGCGUUGAAACAUUUUUGCCGUGCGAGUCAAGGUUUUGUCUGGUGCCAGUGGUAGUUUUUUGGGAGCUUCUAGACGCACACCAAAUCGGUCUCACGACACCCGGGAGGUUAAUCUUGGU
rnacentral:lncRNA from 1 species